UCCCAAUUUCCAUUAUUCCAACUUUUGUUUUUCUUACAACUAAAUUAUUUCCACCAUUUCUAAGUCUAUCAAGCUUAAUUUCUCCAAUUUCUUUCAUGAUUAGUGAGUGGAAAUCAAUAGAAAAGUGUAGUAGCUACCUAAAUUUCAUAAGAAGUGCAUCCAUAGUUGUCUUAGAGGAGAGACAAAAUAAGAAUUAGUGUUGAGUACAAGUGAUUGAGAAAAAGAAGGAAAUUGAGAAUCAAGUGGAGGACUAAGGCAAAGGAGUAGUCAAGGGUAGAAGAAGAAGAAGAAGAAGAAAGCUUGAUUCCAAGCUUUUGGUUGUAAAAGCUAGAGGCAACAUAUUAUUAAGGAUUAGUAGCUUCACAUCUCAUCAUAUCAUUGUAACUGGGAAAAGAGUAAAUUACUUCUCUAUUUUGUUUUUCAGUAAAUGGCAUGUACCUAGGUGAGUGCUUAUGCUAGUAAAUGGUAAACAAAUGGACUCCCUACAUUAUGUAAAUGUGUUUUGGUAAGUAAUUGUAGAAUACAUAUGGAAAUUGAGUAUGCCUUAGAUGAUUUAAUUUGAAGAAAUGGAAACAGGGCAAAAAUAGAACGGACGUCACGACGAGGGAGUAAUGAUGGCAAGUCAAAGAGUGACAUCACGACGAAGAACGCCAGACGCUUCGAUGUCAGCUCAAAUCUUUGGAAACUUCACAUUUUAGUCCAUGUUCAAACUUAGACCACUGAAAGUGCUAUCAUAAGCUCGUAUAUAACCAAAAUUGUGUUCGAAUCUUGUUGUAAAUGUAUAAUGAUCUUAUUAACUUGAAUGAAAUAAUGAAAUCAAUUGAAA